rnacentral:rRNA from 1 species
UACAGAGGUGCCGAGCGUUAGGCGGAAUCACUGGGCUUAAAGCGUGUGUAGGCGGAUGCCUAAGUACCUUGUGAAAUCCCACGGCUUAACCGUGGAACUGCUCGGUAUACUGGGUGUCUUGAGCCACUUAGGGGCUACCGGAACAAAUGGUGGAGCGGUGAAAAUGCGUAGAUAUCAUUUGGAACGCCAAUGGUGAAAACAGGUAGCUGGGAGUGUGCUGACGCUGAGACACGAAAGCCAGGGGAGCGAACGGG